GCCAGGAGCAACUUUCCAGCAGUUAGAGGAAAUCAAUGCAGACCCAGUAGCUAGGAAAUCUUCUCAGCCACUGUACUCAGGAGGUCCUGAAUGUUAUCACCUUCUCUAAUCCCCUGAGGGAGGACAAAGGACAUUCACCUCUAACUGCACUUGGACUUGGCCUGCUCCACACUCUCCUCGUCCUGGUUGGAGGAACCCACUGCUGGACCUGCCAUCACACUGGUAGCUGGUGUCAAGAGGGGCUUGCUGGUCUGCUGAGGACCGCUGAUUGCUUGAGUUGAGCGCAGCUUCUGCCGCUCCAGCGCCCUUCCAUCUGCAUCUCAGCCUCGUGGGAGCCUGUAGACAGGGAUCUGCACGUAUUCAUACCCGCGCGGCAUCUCUCGGUUGCCUGAGCAUUUUCCUCCCUCUCCCUUGCUCGUGGCAGACUUAUUUAUGACUUUGUUUUCCAGUCCUUUGUGCUCGUGCCAGCGGUUCUGAGGAAGGAGCAGAGAAAAGUGUGUGUUUUAUCUACCAGGCCUCACAGGAAGUCCCAUUUCCUCAACAAGUAAGACAGGCGUGCAGUCAGGCCAACUCGGGUUCCCGUCCUGGCGUGGCUUCUCCCAGAUGAGUGACCUUGGGCACACAGAGAGACCAGAUGGACCUCCGGGAGCCCGAACAAGCAGGCUUUUACCACGGCCCGGCAUCUUAGCCUGUUUCCUUCGAUGCCUUGUCUCCCCUCCUACUCUUCAGGGUCUGAGAGUCCGUUCAGCAGUGGAACGGAAGUGGAUCCCCCCACAGCCUUAACUUGGUCAUCUCUCCUGGGCUUCCUUCCCUCCCUGCCAGGGGCUGUUCAAGACCCCCAUUUUCCUCAAGUGUCAGAAUUCAGCUGGGAAUGCCAGCUGUUGACACUCCUACUCUUACAGGGUUUUUCUUUACCCAGUUCAAAGGCAUCUUCCCCCAGGAAGCCUUUCCUGAACUUGGCUUACACAGAAAUCCCCUGCCCCCACCCUUCUGGCUCUGGGCAAGACCCUUGAGCUCAACUGUUAGGCUUACUAGGUGUUGCUCAACUCUUACCACUUAGAAGCUGGGCUCCACUGGGCAGGUUACUGCCAUACUCUGAACCUCAGUUUCUUCAUGAAUGAAAUGGGGCCUCAAAACAGCACCCACCAAUUCUUCGUGAAGCUGUGUGUGUUUUUGUUUGUUUGUUUGUUUUUCUUUUGGUUUUUGAGACAGGGUUUCUCUGUAUAGUCCUGGCUG